rnacentral:lncRNA from 1 species
ACACACACUAUACACACAGCCCCUGAUACACACUCCUGUGAUGUUAACACACACACUAUACACACACAGCCCCUGAUACACACUCCUGUGAUGUUAACACACACUAUACACACACAGCCCCUGAUACACACUCCUGUGAUGUUAACACACACUAUACACACACCAGCCCCUGAUACACACUCCUGUGAUGUUAACACACACUAUACACCACACAGGAGCCCCUGAUAACACCAUCCUUGAUGUUAAUCACACACAUACACACACAGGCCCCUGAUACACACUCCUAGUGAUGUUAACACACACUAUAACACAAGGCCCCUGAUACACACUCCUGUGGAUGUUAACACACACUAUACACACACAGGCCCCUGAUACACACUACUGUGAUGUUAACACACACUAUACACACACACAGACCCCUGAUACACAUCCUGUGAUGUUAACACAAACCACUAUACACACACAGCCCCUGAUACACACUCCUGUGAUGUUAACACACACUAUACACACACAGAC